UAAUAAGUGUUUUAUGGCACUUUUAAAUCCAUAUCCACCUUGUGUGCAAUGUCAGUCGAUCUUCUUCAUGGAGAUCGAGCCAAACAUCAACCUUUAUCUUUUAACUCUUUGUCUGAAAAAUAUUAUGAAUAAACAAUUCAAAAUA
rnacentral:misc_RNA from 1 species